rnacentral:lncRNA from 1 species
AUUUGCACUUAGUUUGAAUAUAAUAUAUUCAUUAAAUAAUUUAAUUAUUUGAAGGAUGUUGGAAAAGAUUGAAGGUUGAUGCAAAAACAGAAGUUGACAGUAUAUGCUGGACUGCAUAUACUAGAGGCAGACCUCUUCCAAUACCAACAAGUAUUUUCAUAUCUGCAGCACUAUCGGUUCUUGGAAACCAUUGGUCCAAUUAAUCCAAUUGAAAACAUCAACGAUCAACCAUCAUCAUUUAAUAAUGAUUGCAUUAAUCCUGAUUUGAAUACCUCUGCCUAUUGCAUUUUGACAAUAUCUAAUGUGCAACAAACUGGCAUUUGCAAUUUUUUGUUGCCUUCUGGUGAUACCUGUGAUGACAGAUGAAUGGAAACACUUAAUCCAACAUUUAAAAGGAAAUGGUAUGUAAAACCUAAUUAAUUACAUAAUUUUUCACUUAUGAAAUAAUUUACUUUUGUAUGAAAUGCAUUUAAUAUAUAUAGCUUCAGUGCCAUUCAUUCUCUUAAAUCAUUAAUGCAUUUUAUUCAUUUUCAAAAAAUAUAUUUCAUUUUGCAACUAUUACAAGGGGACGAGAAUAUUAAUUUCAAAUUAUUUUUUUUAUAUAAUAAUCAUUAGAAUUUCUUUUAUCAUUUUCAAGGUUGGAUGCAUCAAUUAAGGAGACUCAACUAAAGUUAAUUAAAGAAACCAUAAAAACUGAAAAGGGCAAGCAAGAAUUAAAUAGAAUGGAAAUAUGGAAAAUAACUCAAGAAUUGAUGUCAAAAGACUUCAGAUUGCCACUGGAUAACUGUCUAAAUUAAGAUAGUUUUUUGCUGUUUGUAUAGUACACUAGAUUUUUAUUGUUUAUUUAAGGAUUAUUAAUAAAAGUAUUUUUUACUAUAGCUUGAAAUUUUUUAUUUAAAGCAAUAAGUAUUAUUAUUUUUUGUGUUAAAACAAAUUAUUGAGCAUUAGAUGAAAGUUUCAUGAAAAAUUAGAAUAUAAGAAUAUCUUCUUAAAUACAGGGUGACACAGAAUAACGGGAAUUUUUGAAAUAGGUAGUGGCAGCCACGAGCAGA